rnacentral:rRNA from 1 species
UAGGGAAUCUUCCACAAUGGGCGCAAGCCUGAUGGAGCAACACCGCGUGAGUGAAGAAGGGUUUCGGCUCGUAAAGCUCUGUUGUUAAAGAAGAACACGUAUGAGAUUAACUGUUCAUACGUUGACGGUAUUUAACCAGAAAGUCACGGCUAACUACGUGCCAGCAGCCGCGGUAAUACGUAGGUGGCAAGCGUUAUCCGGAUUUAUUGGGCGUAAAGAGAGUGCAGGCGGUUUUCUAAGUCUGAUGUGAAAGCCUUCGGCUUAACCGGAGAAGUGCAUCGGAAACUGGAUAACUUGAGUGCAGAAGAGGGUAGUGGAACUCCAUGUGUAGCGGUGGAAUGCGUAGAUAUAUGGAAGAACACCAGUGGCGAAGGCGGCUACCUGGUCUGCAACUGACGCUGAGACUCGAAAGCAUGGGUAGCGAACAGGAUUAGAUACCCUGGUAGUCCAUGCCGUAAACGAUGAGUGCUAGGUGUUGGAGGGUUUCCGCCCUUCAGUGCCGGAGCUAACGCAUUAAGCACUCCGCCUGGGGAGUACGACCGCAAGGUU